rnacentral:rRNA from 1 species
ACUCCUACGGGAGGCAGCAGUGGGGAAUAUUGCACAAUGGGGGAAACCCUGAUGCAGCCAUGCCGCGUGUGUGAAGAAGGCCUUCGGGUUGUAAAGCACUUUCAGUAGGGAGGAAGGUAGUGUAGUUAACACCUGCACUAUUUGACGUUACCUACAGAAGAAGCACCGGCUAACUCCGUGCCAGCAGCCGCGGUAAGUACGGAGGGUGCGAGCGUUAAUCGGAAUUACUGGGCGUAAAGCGCAUGCAGGCGGCCUGUUAAGUCAGAUGUGAAAGCCCGGGGUCUUAACCUCGGAAUUGCAUUUGAAACUGGCAGGCUAGAGUCUUGUAGAGGGGUUAGAAUUUCAGGUGUAGCGGUGAAAUGCGUAGAGAUCUGAAGGAAUACCGAGUGGCGAAGGCGGCCCCUGGACAAAGACUGACGCUCAGAUGCGAAAGCGUGGGAGCAAACAGGAUUAGAUACCCCUGGUAGACUGUCA